GGGGAAUAUUGCACAAUGGGCGAAAGCCUGAUGCAGCAACGCCGCGUGAGUGAUGAAGGUCUUCGGAUUGUAAAGCUCUGUCUUUUGGGACGAUAAUGACGGUACCAAAGGAGGAAGCCACGGCUAACUACGUGCCAGCAGCCGCGGUAAUACGUAGGUGGCGAGCGUUGUCCGGAUUUACUGGGCGUAAAGGGUGCGUAGGCGGAUGUUUAAGUGAGAUGUGAAAUACCCGGGCUUAACUUGGGUGCUGCAUUUCAAACUGGAUAUCUAGAGUGCAGGAGAGGAGAAUGGAAUUCCUAGUGUAGCGGUGAAAUGCGUAGAGAUUAGGAAGAACACCAGUGGCGAAGGCGAUUCUCUGGACUGUAACUGACGCUGAGGCACGAAAGCGUGGGUAGCAAACAGGAUUAGAUACCCUGGUAGUCCACGCCGUAAAACGAUGAGUACUAGGUGUAGGAGGUAUCGACCCCUUCUGUGCCGCAGUAAACACAUUAAGUACUCCGCCUGGGAAGUACGAUCGCAAGAUUAAAACUCUAAAGUGAAUUGACGGGGUC
rnacentral:rRNA from 1 species